UACGAGGGGGGCAAGCGUUGUUCGGAAUUAUUGGGCGUAAGGGCGCGUAGGCGGUGCGGUAAGUCACCUGUGAAAACUCUGGGCUCAACUCAGAGCCUGCAGGCGAAACUGCCGUGCUUGAGUGUGGGAGAGGUGCGUGGAAUUCCCGGUGUAGCGGUGAAAUUCGUAGAUAUUCGCAAGAACACCAGUGGCGAAGGCGGCUCACUGGCCCGAUACUGACGCUGAGGUGCGAAAGCGUGGGGAGCAAACAGG
rnacentral:rRNA from 1 species